rnacentral:rRNA from 1 species
AUGAACGCUGGCGGCGUGCCUCAUACAUGCCAGUCGAGCGAACAGACGAGGAGCUUGCUCCUCUGACGUUAGCGGCGGACGGGUGAGUAACACGUGGAUAACCUACCUAUAAGACUGGGAUAACUUCGGGAAACCGGAGCUAAUACCGGAUAAUAUAUUGAACCGCAUGGUUCAAUAGUGAAAGACGGUUUUGCUGUCACUUAUAGAUGGAUCCGCGCCGCAUUAGCUAGUUGGUAAGGUAACGGCUUACCAAGGCAACGAUGCGUAGCCGACCUGAGAGGGUGAUCGGCCACACUGGAACUGAGACACGGUCCAGACUCCUACGGGAGGCAGCAGUAGGGAAUCUUCCGCAAUGGGCGAAAGCCUGACGGAGCAACGCCGCGUGAGUGAUGAAGGUCUUCGGAUCGUAAAACUCUGUUAUUAGGGAAGAACGAAUGUGUAAGUAACUAUGCACGUCUUGACGGUACCUAAUCAGAAAGCCACGGCUAACUACGUG